GGGUUGUGAGGUUAAGCGACUAAGCGUACACGGUGGAUGCCCUGGCAGUCAGAGGCGAUGAAGGACGUGCUAAUCUGCGAAAAGCGCCGGCGAGGUGAUAUGAACCUUUGACCCGGCGAUGUCCGAAUGGGGAAACCCAGUGCAAUCCGUUGCACUAUCGUUAACUGAAUACAUAGGUUAACGAGGCGAACCGGGGGAACUGAAACAUCUAAGUACCCCGAGGAAAAGAAAUCAACCGAGAUUCCCCCAGUAGCGGCGAGCGAACGGGGAGCAGCCCGGAGUCUGAAUCAGCUUGUGUGUUAGUGGAACGGUCUGGAAAGUCCGACGGUACAGGGUGAUAGUCCCGUACACGAAAGCACACAUGCUGUGAACUCGAAGAGUAGGGCGGGACACGUGGUAUCCUGUCUGAAUAUGGGGGGACCAUCCUCCAAGGCUAAAUACUCCUGACUGACCGAUAGUGAACCAGUACCGUGAGGGAAAGGCGAAAAGAACCCCGGCGAGGGGAGUGAAAAAGAACCUGAAACCGUGUACGUACAAGCAGUGGGAGCCUCUUUAUGGGGUGACUGCGUACCUUUUGUAUAAUGGGUCAGCGACUUAUAUUCUGUAGCAAGGUUAACCGUAUAGGGGAGCCGAAGGGAAACCGAGUCUUAACUGGGCGUUAAGUUGCAGGGUAUAGACCCGAAACCCGGUGAUCUAGCCAUGGGCAGGUUGAAGGUUGGGUAACACUAACUGGAGGACCGAACCGACUAAUGUUGAAAAAUUAGCGGAUGACCUGUGGCUGGGGGUGAAAGGCCAAUCAAACCGGGAGAUAGCUGGUUCUCCCCGAAAGCUAUUUAGGUAGCGCCUCGUGAACUCAUCUUCGGGGGUAGAGCACUGUUUCGGCUAGGGGGCCAUCCCGGCUUACCAACCCGAUGCAAACUACGAAUACCGAAGAAUGUUAUCACGGGAGACACACGGCGGGUGCUAACGUCCGUCGUGAAGAGGGAAACAACCCAGACCGCCAGCUAAGGUCCCAAAGUCAUGGUUAAGUGGGAAACGAUGUGGGAAGGCACAGACAGCCAGGAUGUUGGCUUAGAAGCAGCCAUCAUUUAAAGAAAGCGUAAUAGCUCACUGGUCGAGUCGGCCUGCGCGGAAGAUGUAACGGGGCUAAACCAUGCACCGAAGCUGCGGCAGCGACACUAUGUGUUGUUGGGUAGGGGAGCGUUCUGUAAGCCGUUGAAGGUGUGCUGUGAGGCAUGCUGGAGGUAUCAGAAGUGCGAAUGCUGACAUAAGUAACGAUAAAGCGGGUGAAAAGCCCGCUCGCCGGAAGACCAAGGGUUCCUGUCCAACGUUAAUCGGGGCAGGGUGAGUCGACCCCUAAGGCGAGGCCGAAAGGCGUAGUCGAUGGGAAACAGGUUAAUAUUCCUGUACUUGGUGUUACUGCGAAGGGGGGACGGAGAAGGCUAUGUCAGCCGGGCGACGGUUGUCCCGGUUUAAGCAUGUAGGCGGAGGUUCCAGGUAAAUCCGGUACCUUGUUAACGCUGAGGUGUGAUGACGAGGCACUACGGUGCUGAAGUGAUAAAUGCCCUGCUUCCAGGAAAAGCCUCUAAGCAUCAGGUAACACGAAAUCGUACCCCAAACCGACACAGGUGGUCAGGUAGAGAAUACCAAGGCGCUUGAGAGAACUCGGGUGAAGGAACUAGGCAAAAUGGUGCCGUAACUUCGGGAGAAGGCACGCUGAUGUGUAGGUGAAGCCCCUGCGGGCGGAGCUGAAAUCAGUCGAAGAUACCAGCUGGCUGCAACUGUUUAUUAAAAACACAGCACUGUGCAAACACGAAAGUGGACGUAUACGGUGUGACGCCUGCCCGGUGCCGGAAGGUUAAUUGAUGGGGUUAGCGGCAACGCGAAGCUCUUGAUCGAAGCCCCGGUAAACGGCGGCCGUAACUAUAACGGUCCUAAGGUAGCGAAAUUCCUUGUCGGGUAAGUUCCGACCUGCACGAAUGGCGUAAUGAUGGCCAGGCUGUCUCCACCCGAGACUCAGUGAAAUUGAACUCGCUGUGAAGAUGCAGUGUACCCGCGGCAAGACGGAAAGACCCCGUGAACCUUUACUAUAGCUUGACACUGAACACUGGUCCUUGAUGUGUAGGAUAGGUGGGAGGCUUUGAAGCGUGGACGCCAGUCUGCGUGGAGCCAACCUUGAAAUACCACCCUUUAAUGGCUGGUGUUCUAACGUAGACCCGUAAUCCGGGUUGCGGACAGUGUCUGGUGGGUAGUUUGACUGGGGCGGUCUCCUCCCAAAGAGUAACGGAGGAGCACGAAGGUUGGCUAAUCCUGGUCGGACAUCAGGAGGUUAGUGCAAUGGCAUAAGCCAGCUUGACUGCGAGCGUGACGGCGCGAGCAGGUGCGAAAGCAGGUCAUAGUGAUCCGGUGGUUCUGAAUGGAAGGGCCAUCGCUCAACGGAUAAAAGGUACUCCGGGGAUAACAGGCUGAUACCGCCCAAGAGUUCAUAUCGACGGCGGUGUUUGGCACCUCGAUGUCGGCUCAUCACAUCCUGGGGCUGAAGUAGGUCCCAAGGGUAUGGCUGUUCGCCAUUUAAAGUGGUACGCGAGCUGGGUUUAGAACGUCGUGAGACAGUUCGGUCCCUAUCUGCCGUGGGCGCUGGAGAAUUGAGGGGGGCUGCUCCUAGUACGAGAGGACCGGAGUGGACGCAUCACUGGUGUUCGGGUUGUCAUGCCAAUGGCACUGCCCGGUAGCUAAAUGCGGAAGAGAUAAGUGCUGAAAGCAUCUAAGCACGAAACUUGCCCCGAGAUGAGUUCUCCCUGAGACUUUAAGUCUCCUGAAGGAACGUUGAAGACGACGACGUUGAUAGGUCGGGUGUGUAAGCGCAGCGAUGCGUUGAGCUAACCGAUACUAAUGAACCGUGAGGCUUAACCUUACAACGCCGAAGCUGUU
rnacentral:rRNA from 1 species